UCUGUUUGUAUGCAAAAUCUGGGUCUAUGAAGCACGCUUCCCUUCUGCUUGACGGAAUUGCAAUGAGAGAUAUGGUUUUUUGGACUGCGCUUGUAAUUGGGUAUGUACAGAAUCGUGAGAGUGAGAAGGGAAUGGAGUGUUUAAAUGAGAUGCAUGUAUGGUGAGAGGGUGAAUUUUAGGACUUUGGAAGGAGCAUUUCAAGCUUAUGGGAAUUUGGGUGCCGUGAUUGAAGUCAGGUGUUUGCAUGGUUUAGCGGUAAAAACUGGAUUUGGGUGUUUCCACAUUGUUCAGUAUUCUCGUUUGUCAAUAUAUUCAACUUGUGGCGGUACUGAGGAAGCUUAGAAUUCUUUUUGCAAAGUGAUUAAUAAAGACAUUUUCUCGUGGACGUCAGUUAUUGGUAUUCAUGCAAGGUUUAGGUUCAUGAAUAAAUAUACAAGUCUUUUUGGGAUAGGCAAAAUGCUGGUGAAUGUCCAGAAGGGGUUGUUAUAAGUUUAAUCUGUUGG
rnacentral:misc_RNA from 1 species